rnacentral:rRNA from 1 species
GAUGAACGCUGGCGGCGUGCCUAAUACAUGCAAGUCGAGCGAACGGACGAGAAGCUUGCUUUUCUGAUGUUAGCGGCGGACGGGUGAGUAACACGUGGAUAACCUACCUAUAAGACUGGGAUAACUUCGGGAAACCGGAGCUAAUACCGGAUAAUAUUUUGAACCGCAUUGUUCAAAAGUGAAAGACGGUCUUGCUGUCACUUAUAGAUGGAUCCGCGCUGCAUUAGCUAGUUGGUAAGGUAACGGCUUACCAAGGCAACGAUGCAUAGCCGACCUGAGAGGGUGAUCGGACACACUGGAACUGAGACAGGGUCCAGACUCCGACGGGAGGCAGCAGUAGGGAAUCUUACGGAAUGGGCGAAAGCCUGACGGAGCAACGCCGCGUGAGUGAUGAAGGUCUUCGGAUCGUAAAACUCUGUUAUUAGGGAAGAACAUAUGUGUAAGUAACUGUGCACAUCAUGACGGUACCUAAUCAGAAAGCCACGGCUAACUACGUG